rnacentral:misc_RNA from 1 species
UCUCCGUAGGUGAACCUGCGGAAGGAUCAUUAUUGAAUACGUUUGGUUCUGAUGCUGGCUCUUCACUGAGCAUGUGCUCGAUCCAUAACUAUUUAUCUUCUCUUGUGCACCUUUUGUAGUCUUUCAGAGCAAGUGAUAACUCUCGCAGCAAUGCGGUUUGGGGGACUUGGGCGUGAGCCCUUCCCCUGCGUUUGCUUCUUUGGAGGGCUAUGUUUUCAUAUACACUAUAAAGUUACAGAAUGUCUUUUAAAGAUUGUGCUAGUCGCAGUCAUUAAACCUAUACAACUUUCAGCAACGGAUCUCUUGGCUCUC